AUGGCCGCACCCACGCAGACCAGCCCGCUCCGCCGGUGGAAGCGCUUCUUCCGCGCCUUCGACUGUGUGGACACCGCCAUCAAGCCCUCCGACCCUGACCACUCACGCGACGAGCUCCGGCGCGCCAGGGUCGACGUCGUGGAGCAGCUCUGCAACGCCGCGGACGACGACGACCAGGCGGAGCGCCUCUGCGGGAUCCUCGACGACCACAUGGCGGAGUCCCUGGAGACGCUGCGGCUCGUUCCGGUGACGCCCCGCAUGCUGGCUUCCACGGACCUCGCCAGGUCCGUCUGCGCGCUCCGCAGGCACGAGUCGGAGCGCGUCCGCGUCUUGGCCCGAGGCGUCGUGAGCGGGUGGAGGGCGUCGAUGCAGGACGAGCUCGCCAUGGUCAGAGACGCCCUGCGCAAGCUUGACAACGUCAGCAUGCCGCAGACAACGGAGAUCACCGUCGGUCAGCGGCAACAUGUCUCCGCCGAUUCUGACGUAGCCAAGACGAAGGCGCCGGUCAUGAAGACGGCGGCAGUCACUAUCAGAAAGGAUGCGUCCGGUUCCGCCGGCGGGGACCCUGCUGGCCUCUGCUCCGAGGAGAAGAUGGAAGCCGCGAAACGCAAGUUCCGCCAAGGUUACCGGGAAGCAGAGGACGCUAAACGGCUGCGCAGGACACGAUUGGUGCAGGCGCCCAAGAUGAUGCAGCCAGUCAGGAGGUGCACCAGCUCCAUGGCCAAGAAGGAAACCUUCGUGGUCAGGACGCAGAUUCACAUGGCUUAG
rnacentral:rRNA from 1 species